rnacentral:lncRNA from 1 species
UUAUUUUCCCAUUUUCUUUCUUGAAAAAGUACAAAAACGAGAAAGAGAUGACUACACCACAAUUUCUUCAUCCUGCGAUUACAUUGGUUUUCUUCAUAUUGUUGUGAGUUCUAAUCGACAGGUAUAGUGGGUUGUUUUCUAACUUUUUCAAUUCGCCUUAUUGUGAUUUCCAACGAGUUUUUUCAUCUAACUGUGACUUCUUAAUAUUUCUAUGUGUAUAGUUCUAAUUCUGAGUUUGUGAAAUUGACAGGUUGUGUGUUAAUAUUAACAGAGAGAGGUACAUAAUUUUUUAAUUUAAUUUUUGGUUUAUGUGAUUAAAAUUGUCUAUCUUUGUUAUUGUUAUUUUUUUUCGAAUUUCAAAUGGAAUAUUGAGUUCACAAUGCUAGAUUUUUUAGUUCUUUCCUGAUAAAUUGAUUUUAUCUUUUGCUUCUCUUUUAUGAUGGAAUUUCGCGAGGCUUAUGUGUUAAGCAGAGAGAUGUAUAUAAUAUUUCAAUUUAAUUUAUGCUUUCUGUGAUUAAAAUUGUUUGAUCUUUAUUAUUGCUAUUUUUUUUUUCGAAUUUCAAAUGGAUUAUUGAAUUCACAGUGCUAGAAUUUUUAAUUCUUUCUUGAUAAAUUGAUUUUAUUUUUUUGCUUCUCUUUUACGGUGGAUUUUCGCGAGGCUUAUAUGUUAGCAAGUUUGCUGAAGAGGAAAUUCUGAUUGAUUUGUGAUUUACGUUGAAUCUAUGUUUGAGGUUAUGUAUUGAUUCUAAGCAGAUUUGAAUUUAAUAUUAAAUUGCUGGAAUUUUUGUAGGUGCCUCUUGUCGUGUUUAUAAGUUAAUAUUUUGUUUUUCUUUGAUUUUCUAUCUUUAGUUCAAGUUUAGGCAAUCCGACUUCCAUUCACUACAAAUCAAUUGCUGAUUUUCGCAAAUAUUGUUAGACUAAACUAUGAUUUGGAACAUAUUAGAUUUUAUGUAACCUAACUUUAUCUAAAGAAUGUGGAGAUAAAUAAGUUUCUUCUUAAUAUUAUUUUGGUUUAAAUCUCAAAAACCUUAACGUUUUGGUAAGUCCAUGAAUUAAAAGAUCGACCAAUUAAUUGAUUUGCUAGGUCACCAGUGCUCAUUAGGAAAUUUUUUAUAUCUCUAUAUAUAAAUUUAUGUUGAAUUUUGAUAUCAGUCAUCAAAUUUUAUUUUGUUUCUUUUCUUUCUAUUUGGUCACACAAUUGUAAUCUAUUAGUUUUUUUUCCUAACGGAUUUUAUGAGGUGGCGGCAACAAUCUGUUAUGGCCUUGAUUUGGAGGUCUUAUAUGUUAUACAUUCCAUUAGAAGACUUAACGGGAUUAAAUGAAAUGACCAAAAAAAAAAAAUGUAAACCUCUAGUGUCUAUUUUAGCUCAAAAUAAAGUUUGAUAAUUAAAAUGAAAAAUCUAGAGUAUGUUUACAAAGUUUUUAUAAACAAUUUAUUUAAUAGAUAGAUAAAAAUGAAUGAAGGAUAAGCGGAUGCUAAUUGUGAAUUUUAAAAUGUGUGAAUAUAAGUAAUUGUGAAUUUUUAAAAUGUGCGAAUAUAAAAUGACUUAAAUGUUUAUAAAUAGUUUAUAAACAUGAGCCAAACAUGGGCUUAAGUCUACUGCUUUUAACCAUAGAAGAGUCUUUUGCCUUCAUUUUCAAUGAAAAUGGUUUUAUGGAGUAGAAAGAUUGGUCUUAAAAAACUAAUGGAUACUUAGAAAAAUUCCCAUAAGCGUGAUUUGAAUAAAAAAGUUAUUCUUUGGCAUGAGCACCAUUUUGUAUCUAUGAAUUAGAAUAGCCCUCUUUCUUAUGUGUUGACAGAUGAAUUGAACAUGAAAUGAACUGCUCGGAUCAAGGUUAAAUUUGUGUUCCUUCCUGUGAUCUCUACUUUUUUUUGGAUUGUGUGUUUUUGUAGAUGCAUUAGUGUCAUCCUCAUGAAGGGAUUAAAAUAUGCAUAAUUGGACCGGAUUCUUUCAUAUUGUGAUUGUUCUCUUCUUAUGAACUUCUCGUAUAUAUAAAUUUUUGUUAAAUCUACAAGUAUAGAGAAGAAUCUAUUUAGUCGACCUCAAAUUUAUUGGGUAAGAUUUGAUUUGUUAUUGUAAAGAGAAGACAAACUCACAUUGCAUUUUGAAACUGUCUGUGGUUAUUACAUUUGUAUUACUAAUUAUGAAGGCUAUUAUAUGUUUAGUCUCGAAAUUGUGGAGUUCAUAAUUUUUUUUUUUUUAGGUUUCUUGAAAAGAAAACUUAGUGAGAAUGUUAAAGAAGAGCUUCACUUAGAUGAUUUGAACUCAUACAGUGUGAUUGAGCUUCUAAUAAUAAAAUACCUCAUAUUUCUUAUGCUCACUUCUUUUAUCGUAAAAAUUGGCUUGAACUAAUGGCUAAAGUACACUAUUAAAAACAAAAAACUAAAAGAUAUAAAAUUUUAUGAUUAAUAAUAUUUAUGGCAUCAAGUUCACUGCAUUGUUAUGCAUAUUCCCUUAGUGUUCUUUUUUAAUAUUUUGUCACAUCAUUGGUCAAUUGGCAAGGCUUGUUCUAUAGUAAAGCAAAUUUUGAUGUUUUCUAUUUAUGCAUAUGUUGGUUCAAUGAAAACUUCUCAAAUCUUUGCAGUUGAAUGAACUUUGAGAUAUUCUUCCUUAGAAUUCUCCAAUUAGAUGGCAUACCUAUACACCUACAAAUUGCCCAAUAAAUGAUGGGAUUUUGCUGGAAAUAUUCCUUCAGGCCAAAUUGUGGCUACGAGGAACGUGCUUCUUGUCUCCUCUACUAUUAAUAAUCUUUCUAAGAUUUUCAUACUCUAUUCCUCAGUCAGUAACUAGCUUUGUAUUUCCUCUAUUUUCUAUGCUUACAUAUUUUUAUUAGUUCAUUUAUUCACUUGAACCAUGCAUGUGAACCUUAUAACUAAACUAAUUACAAAUAAAAUUAAAUGCAAUUGUGACUAUAAUGAUGAUGAAAUAAAUUGUAACAUAAUUUACUCCUCUUAUGCUCUUUCUAUAUUUUUAAUCAUAUUUCAUAUUUUAUGAAUUCUCUCUUCAGCUGUCUAAAGCUUUUCUGAAAAAAUUAUGUUUCCUUGUUCUAUUCAUUUUCUCAGGUACCAGCUUAGAUUACAUUACAUUCAAAAUCCAGUUUCUUUUCUUCUUAUUGGCAGGUAAUGUGCAAUGUUACUUUUUAUUUCACUGCUUUCCUCUUACAUUGGUCAAAAUUUAAGAACCUUUUUAUUAUUUGUAAUUUGACUGAUUUUUUCUCAACGUAUUUUCUUCUAUUAAAUUCUGUUAUCUGUGUUACUAUACAUUUUACAAAAAAUGCACUCCAUAUUAUGUUGGUUCUAAAAUUUUACCUAUUGUCGACAUUUAAUCAUACUUUUCAUUAUCUUAGGUAUGGAUUCUUCUACUCUAAUAUUCAUAUUUAAACUAUGUUUGACGUAACGUAUAUGGUAAUAGUUUUUCUUUUUCUUCAUGUAGUUGUUGUUGCUUACUUUCAGCUCCAACUACUUGAUAAUUUUUCUUCCUUUAUUGAUUGACAUAAUGGAACCAUGCGCUCAUCGAGAUUCUCGUUUAUGUAAUGCUCAAACUACUUCUAAAAGUACAAGUCAUUCAUAUGAUGCAUUAAUUCGUCAACAACGAAAUCAAAGACGAAGAGAUCGACGACAUCAAGCUGAAACUAGAUUCAUUAAUCAUCGUAAAAGAGUAUUUUAGCCUAUGUUAUCUACAAAUAAUAAUUCUCAUGUUGUCCAUGUACAUGAACCUGCAACAUACUAUCAUUCUAAGCUUACUACUUCCAACAAUGAAGCAUUAAACAUAUGUAAUACUGAAUUAUAGGAAAGUUCUAGCCAAUUAAAUGUACCCUGUAUUGCAUAUGUAUUACCAA